UACGGGGGGAGCAAGCGUUGUUCGGAUUCAUUGGGCGUAAAGGGUGCGUAGGCGGCGCGGUAAGUCGGGUGUGAAAUCUCGGAGCUUAACUCCGAAACUGCAUUCGAUACUGCCGUGCUUGAGGACUGGAGAGGGGACUGGAAUUUACGGUGUAGCGGUGAAAUGCGUAGAUAUCGUAAGGAAGACCAGUGGCGAAGGCGGGUCUCUGGACAGUUCCUGACGCUGAGGCACGAAGGUCAGGGGAGCAAACGGG
rnacentral:rRNA from 1 species